rnacentral:rRNA from 1 species
UACGGGGGGGGUAAGCGUUGUUCGGAAUUACUGGGCGUAAAGGGCUCGUAGGCGGCCAACUAAGUCAUACGUGAAAUCCCUCAGCUUAACUGGGGAACUGCGUGUGAUACUGGAUGGCUUGGAUUUGGGAGAGGGAUGCGGAAUUCCAGGUGUAGCGGUGAAAUGCGUAGAUAUCAAGAGGAACACCGUGAGGUGAAGACGGGUUGCUGGGCUGACACUAACGCUGAGGCGCGAAAGCUAGGGUAGCAAACGGG